rnacentral:tRNA from 1 species
GGAAUAGUGGGUUAAACAGAAACCUGCAGGCUGGCAUCCUGUAUGGGCGCUGGUUCGAGUCCUGGCUGCUCCA